ACUCCUACGGGAGGCAGCAGUGGGGAAUUUUGGACAAUGGGGGAAACCCUGAUCCAGCCAUGCCGCGUGAGUGAAGAAGGCCUUCGGGUUGUAAAGCUCUUUCAGCCGGAACGAAACGGUCACGGUUAAUACCCGUGACUACUGACGGUACCAGAAGAAGAAGCACCGGCUAACUACGUGCCAGCAGCCGCGGUAAU
rnacentral:rRNA from 1 species